rnacentral:sRNA from 1 species
UAGCUGAUGUUGUUUACGCACACCCCGUC